rnacentral:lncRNA from 1 species
AGAUUCACAAACUCUUUUCUCAAAGAAGUUUCUUUCAAGCAAAACAUUGAGCUUUGGUGGAAAAACACUGCCCAAGACGGACACCCGGGAUACUUCUUUAUGUGGAGACUCAAACAACUCUCUCAUACAAUCAAAAGUUGGAGUAAAAGCAUAAAAGUUUCCAAUGAUAAAGAAAGACACACUAUUGAAAGAAUUCGAGCACAUUGAUAAACUGGAAGCUGAAAAUAAUAUCACUGAGAUGCACAUUUCUUGUAGAACAUCCAUCAAAACUGAUUUGAAUCAAAUGGCCUUCAAAGAAGCACAAGUGUGGGCCCAAAAAUGCAAACGGUUAUGGAACAUGGAAGGUGAUGAAAACUCUGCUUUUUAUCAUAAAAUUUGUUUAGUUAGGCAAAGGAGAAGCUUCAUAUCAAGUAUUUCCACUGCGCAAGGAGCUCACUGUACAACUGAUAAGGAUAUUGAGAAAACAUUCAUUGAUCAUUUUGGGGAGAUUUAUACUGAUAAGAAAAGAGAUUUAUGGUUCAUUGAAAACCUUCCAUGCACUCCUAUAAAAGAGGCUGCUCAUGAUGAUCUUUGCAAAUUCUUUUAUGAGGAGGAGAUUUACAACGCUCUUAAAAAAUUUUCCCAAAAAUAAAUCUCCAGGCCCUGAUGGCUUCACUAUGGAGUUUCUCAAAGGUACAUGAAAAUUCACAAAAGAAAAUAUCUUGGAAAUCUUUAAUGACUUCCAUGAAAAUGGCAUCAUCAAUAAAAUUGUGAAUUCUACCUUUAUUGCUCUUAUUGCCAAAAAGGAGACCUGCUCAGUCCCUUCGGACUACAGACCUAUAAGUCUUACAACUGGUCUUUACAAGCUCAUAGAUAAAGUAAUUGCUGAAAGACUUAAAACAGUUCUGCCUGAUAUAAUCUCAGAGAAUCAAUUAGCUUUCGUCAGAGGGAGGCAGGUUAAUGAUGCCAUUUUUGAUUGAAAAUGAAGCGGUGGACUUCUGGAAACAGAAAAAAACCAAAGGCUUUGUGGUCAAGCUUGACAUUGAAAAAGCUUUUGAUAAAAUAAAUUGGACACUCAUUGAUUAUAUGCUUCAUAAGAAAGGCUUCCCCCACAAAUGGCGUAAUUGGAUUAAAGCAUGUAUUUCAAGUGUUCAAUACUCCAUCCUUAUUAAUGGCAGACCCAAACGUAAAAUCAAACCCACAAGGGGUAUUCGACAAGAAGAUCCUAUCUCUCCUUUUAUAUUUGUUCUCGCCAUGGAUUAUCUCAGUAUACUUCUCAAUCACUUGGAGAAAGAAAACUUGAUAAAAGGUGUAAGUUUCAACGGGAAACACAACCUCACUCACCUUCUUUUUGCUGACGAUAUCCUACUCUUUAUGGAGGAUGAUGACGACACCAUUGAUAACAUGAGAUAUGCCCUUAAGCUUUUUGAAUUGCCCUCAGGUCUCAACAUCAACCUCAAUAAAUCUACGAUUUCACCUAUCAACAUCGAUACGCAGAGAACAAAUUGUGUGGCGUCAACAUGGGGAUUCUCUAUAAACUUUCUUCCCAUUCAAUACUUGGGAGUGCCUUUGGGAGGUAAACCGAAUUCUAGACAAUUUUGGUAUGAACCUACUGAAAAACUCCAGAAGAAAAUCAACAAUUGGAAAUAUGCUUCUCUUUCCAGAGGUGGCAAAAUAACUCUCAUUAAAGCUACUUUAUCUAGCAUUUCAAAUUAUCAUCUUUCGGUUUUCAAGCCUCCCAAAUUUGUCUACAAAGACAUUGAGAAAAUUUGGAGGAAUUUUCUCUUGAGAAAUACUUUCGAUAAGAAAAAUAUCAACCUCAUCAAAUGGUCAACGGUUCUGUCUCCUAUCAGCAGAGGUGGCCUGGGCAUCAACGGCGUUGAGAGUACAAAUUUUGCUCUACUCAGCAAGUGGAUCUGGAGAUUUUAUGAAGAGAAUAACCCUCUUUGGAAACGCAUCAUCAUUGCAAAAUACGAACAAUCAUACUUGGGUGAGCUCCCAACUAAGAGCAAAUUCAGCAGCUCCAAAGCUCCAUGGAUGUCUAUCAUUAAAGGAGUCGACCGGGUUCUUCCUCAGAUCAAAUAGAGCAUUAAAAGGGGUGACACCCUCUCUUUCUGGCACAGCCAUUGGCAUGAACUUAGUUCGUUCACACAGUCCAACCCGAGAUUAUUUGCUCUUUCUUCUAGAAAAGAAAACUCAAUUACAAACAUGUGGAAUGCAGAAAAAGUUGAUUGGGACCUUUACCCUUGCAUACCAUUAAGAAGUGUCGAGGAAGCUCUUUGGGACAAUAUGAAAGCCUCCCUCCCCCCCUACCUGUUUCCGGUUUCGACAAUCCUCAUUGGAUUUUAAACAAUAAUGGCUGCUUCUCGGUGGCCUCCAUUAAACUUGCAAGAUUCAAAACAACCAAGAUGAGAUUAACGAUAAUGAUGGGGUUAUUUAUAACAAAUUAUGGAAAUCAAUCAUUCCCAAAAGAUGCAAAUUCUUCUUAUGGGCUCUCCUUCAUUAGUGUAUAAAUACCAUGGAUAUGCUACAAAGAAGACUCCCAACUUGGAAUUUAAAUCCCUCUUGGUGUAUUCUUUGCAAAGCUGCUGAGGAAGACAGACAACACUUGUUCUCCCUCUGCCCCUUCUCAUCUAAACUCUGGAAAAAUGUUGAAGUUGUAUUGGACAGACCCCUUCUCACUUUAAAUCCCGCUGUAUUAUGCAAAGAAACCUACAAAACAAAGGAAAAAACAAAAAUACAAACCAUCGAACAACACCUGGUGGCUGCUAUCCUCUAGAAUAUCUGGAAUGAAAGAAACAGAAGAAUUUUUAAGGGGGAAGAAAAAACAGUUGAUUAUGUGUGGGAAGACACUCAAGCUCUAAUUGGACUAUGGACUAGUCGUUCUUUCCUAUUCAAAAAUUACUCACCUAGCUCUAUUGCUUUAAACUUACAUGCAUUUUAGCUAUUUGGGUUCAUAGGUCUUCCCUCUAGCCCUUUAAGCUUUUUCCUGCUUCUUGUCUUUUAUCUCAUAUAUAUUAAUGAAGCUGGUUUGAUGUGGUUGCAUUGGAUUGUCUCCCUUGAGGAGAUAUCCUCUUGCAUAUGUCAUCUCAAAGUAUC